ACUCUUCAACCCACCUAUUUCUUGUAAAUUGUUGUGGUGUUUGGAUUUUGAAUGUCUGCUGGCCUUUUUGGCGAAGCUCAUUCGUAAUGCAUUAGCAUCUCAAAUUCGUUUUUCGGAUUGACUCAGCGUGAUAGACUUUCUUCGCUGAGGACAUUAGUUUUUCUAAUGGCCGAUUUUCGUAAAGUAGAAGCUUCUAAUCAAGUCAACUUUUGAUU
rnacentral:misc_RNA from 1 species